GCAGAAGUGACAGUAAGUUACUUCCGAGGCUAAGUCAUAAAAGGUAACCCAGCUCCACCUGCCUCUCUCGGGACCACUGUCACACAGCCAUCAUGCUGCCGGGAAGCCCAGGUCACCUGGAAAGGCCCUCACAGCUCCAGCUGAGGUUCUGGCCAAGAGCCAGCCUCCAACACCAUACAGGUCUGGAGUGGUCCCCAAGAUCCAGCAUUUCCAACACGCUCCCAGGUGACAUCGAUGCUGCAGCUGGUCUUCCGACCACACCUGGAGUAGCAAGAUUCUACAGCAGCACCACCAAGAGAAAUACAAGCCACCUAUGUAACUUUACAUUUUCUUGUAACUACACUAAAAAUAAUUUUAGUAACAUAUUUUACUUAAUCCAAUAUGUCCAAAACAUGAUCAUGUCAACAGGUAAUCAAGUUAUUAAUGAGAUGGCUUACAUUCUUUUUUUGGUACUAAGUCUUCAAACCCUGGGGUGCAUU
rnacentral:lncRNA from 1 species